AAGUUUUAGCCAGCUACGACGGCGGCAGUCGGAGGUUUAGUCUGUCGUUUGGCUUAUUGAUUCGACCAGAUCGACGGUACUCAACGCGUCCGCUCACCGGUCGCUAAAAUCGCUGCCGCCGUUGGCGUCGGCGUCGCUGCGACGCUAAAUGAAACGCUUUGACGCGUUAUAAUAACAACUGUUUGCCGUCUUUGGACAUUCAGUGUACGAUAUCCCGGCGUACGGUGCAGACAACGUCGACAGAGAGAGAGAGAGAGAGAAAAAGAUUAAAAAAAAUAAAUACCGAAACCAAAAACAAAAAAAACGAAAAACAAAAAUUACAGAACCCCCUUAUACAAAAUCCACAAGGCAAACUCUUUUGUCACCAGUUAUUAUACUGACAGUAUAAUUGUGUUUUUUAUUGUUUUUGUUUGUGCUCAAAAGAAAAUAAAUACAAUUUAAUUUAAAAAAAAAAAAAAAUUAAUUAAUUAAGUGCCGAAAUUGUGUUAAGUUUUCGUAAAAUUUAAAUAGCGCCCACGAAAAGUUCAAAGUGAGUGCGAAGUGAGCGUAAAGUUGCUUUAACAAAAUUAAGAAUUCUAUAACUUUCAAAUACAAACACAAAUACAACAAGAAGAUCAACAAUAUGUACGUUAUGUUGUUGCUUGCAGCCAUAUCAACGGUCCGGUGACUAAAGCUCUGUCCUCUCUGCUCCUCAAACAACUCAACCCGCCAUCCCCCACCCGCCUCGAAGAACAGGACACAAAACAACGAACUGGACACAGGACUUAUUACACUAUACUAUACACACACACACA